rnacentral:rRNA from 1 species
UGCAGUCGAACGAAGUAGCAAUACUUAGUGGCAGACGGGUGAGUAACAUGUGGGUAUCUACCCUUUGGCCUGGAAUAACACGAGGAAACUUGUGCUAAUACCGGAUAAGUCUUUACGGAGAAAGCUUUAUGCACCAUUGGAUGAGCCCGCACUUGAUUAGUUUGUUGGUAGGGUAAUGGCCUACCAAGACUAUGAUCAAUAGCUGAUUUGAGAGGAUGAUCAGCCACAUUGGGACUGAGACACGGCCCAAACUCCUACGGGAGGCAGCAGUGGGGAAUCUUGCACAAUGGAGGAAACUCUGAUGCAGCGAUGCCGCGUGAGUGAAGAAGGCCUUUGGGUUGUAAAGCUCUUUCGUCGGGGAAGAAAAUGACUGUACCUGAAUAAGAAGGUCCGGCUAACUUCGUGCCAGCAGCCGCGGUAAUACGAAGGGACCUAGCGUAGUUCGGAAUUACUGGGCUUAAAGAGUUCGUAGGUGGUCGAAAAAGUUGGUGGUGAAAUCCCAGAGCUUAACUCUGGAACUGCCAUCAAAACUUUUCAGCUAGAGUAUGAUAGAGGAAAGCAGAAUUUCUAGUGUAGAGGUGAAAUUCGUAGAUAUUAGAAAGAAUACCAAUUGCGAAGGCAGCUUUCUGGAUCAUUACUGACACUGAGGAACGAA